rnacentral:tRNA from 1 species
GACCUGGUGGCAAAAUGGUUAAGUGCUCAGCUGCUAACUGAAAGGUUGGUGGUUCAAACCCACCCAGAGGCU